GGCCGGUUAGCUCAGUCAGUUGAGCGUGAUGCUGAUAACACCAAGGUCACGGGUUCAAUCCCCGUUCAAUCCC
rnacentral:tRNA from 1 species